rnacentral:rRNA from 1 species
UACGGAGGGUGCGAGCGUUGUCCGGAAUCAUUGGGCGUAAAGGGCGCGUAGGUGGCCCGGUCAGUCGAUGGUGAAAGCGCGGGGCUCAACUCCGCGUCGGCCGUCGAUACUGCUGGGCUUGAGCACUGUAGAGGCAGGCGGAAUUCCGGGUGUAGCGGUGGAAUGCGUAGAGAUCCGGAAGAACACCGGUGGCGAAGGCGGCCUGCUGGGCAGUGGCUGACACUGAGGCGCGACAGCGUGGGGAGCGAACAGG